ACGAAAUGGGGCGUAACCGUAAAAACGUUAGCCUUUAGAGACAAUGGUUUUGGAGCUACAUGUCACAGCUCGUUGUUGAUGCAUUUACUCUUUUAGGACCAUUAAUUCUAGCUGUAGGCUUACACUUCACGGUUUGAGUCUCCUGAUAGUGAUGCUUGCCACCGAAUAUCAUGAGGAACGCAGCGCAAGUAACUUCGAGGUGUGCGCUUGAAACUAAGAUAAAAUGAUUCAGACCGGAGUUACCUUUGAACAUAGAAAACCCAAAUAGCUUAGAUAGUCUUUUUCUCGUGACCUGCCGUACAUGGCAGCAUUCUGUAUAAUUUGUUUGCUUCACGACAGAUUCAGGAAACGAUUGACAGGAAUUUAUAACAAACGUCGCCAUUCAAGCAGCUCCUUCGGCCUCACCGCUAAAGGUGGGUAGGUAGGGCACAUGCAGGCGUGUAGUGCAGCUAUGAGUACAUUUCGGUCAAACUCUGACUACAUGAAGUUUUUAUUCACAUUGAGAGUACAAUACCGGAAACCUACAUAGAUUCAAUUGCUCCAAAGAGCGUUACGAGACCCAGGAACACGGAGCAAGCACUUCAACUACUUUUAUUGAGUAAACAAGCAUAGAUAUGCUACGUGGUAUGGAUGAACCAAGUUUUAUCAUUGCAUGGCGGCAUUUCAGGAGGUGGAAAUAACGUAGCACUUCAUGUGCGCGGGGCCUUGGGACAAUAUGGGAACGGAAACUUGACAAAACAGGAUCUUGAAAGCGGAGGCAGUUAUCCAAAAUGGAAGGUUCCGCUCCGUUGACGGCGGCCUCCAACGGCCUUUAUCCUACGAAAGCUUCGAGACGAUUGUAGUUCCAAGGACCGCACCAUAUGCCUUUGACGCAGCAUGUGUUCGUAGUGGAAGGUCCUCAGACGAAGCAUCAACAAACGAAUGAACAUGCGAUUAGAAAAGGACAGUACAAGGAAAAAGACCCAACUUUUCACGACUAGUAUACUAAUGUAACUAAACAAAAUGAGCAAUCGUACUUCAGCAGCAGUCAGGCAAACACCUACCUUCCCAAAGAGGCGAAACCAUGGUCCUGGUUACGUUUCGCUAUCCCGUUGGGGCCAGUCCCUCAGCAGAAUCGUGCACGUAUCUCGGUGUUCCUAGUAACUUCAUCGUGCUGCAAAGAGGAGACCGGGACCAAACCUUCCUUGGAGUUCCUUGCAGAAGGGGCCAUCCGCGCAGCGACAAGCUCACCCCAGGACUGACAAGAUUGAUUCAGGCCACAGCUUAUAUUUCCCACGGUGGAAAGAGCGAAGUUGAUGCUUGCGCCCCCUGUAAUCAUUUACAUUCUCAUAUUAAAAUGAUGUUUGUUUUGUCAUUGUGGGCGUGGCACGGCAAUGCUGUAAAGAUAGAAGCGUGCGAUAGACGGGCUUAUCUACUUCGAUAACACUACUGUUUGGCACCCUCUUAUUUUUGACGUUGUAAUCGAGCGAUAUGGUUCCGCGUAUUGAAGGCUUCGUUCACGGAUGGAGGGCACAUGCUUUGUCAGCGCACGAGCACCAGGCUUACCUACAUCGAUAAGGCUACCGUUUGGCAUUGUUUUUUGCUCGCACGUGGCGAUUACGUUUGAGCUGAUAUGGGCCUACAUACUGAAGGCUUCACUGCAUACGAAUGGCGGGCACCUGCUUUGUCGGCGCACAAGCGAGGCAAGGCAACUGUAGGCAAGGCCGCUGAGCUGGCCCUGGAGCUUGUGUGUGUUUUAGCGUUGAGUUGCAACGCAUACGAUGAACGUAUCCCUUACAUAAUAUUUUCUAUAUGAUUGCUCAGCCGCUAUUUGUAAAUGACGCAUCAGGGGGAAGAUGGGCUGCCCCAGUUUGCUAAAGAUGAACCUCUGUGGUCCGUGGCGUCCAAAACGAGGCGUUUGGCCAGGCCAGGCCGGACCACGCCUAAAAAAAAGCUUAUCAGUAAAAGUCAGCACAUGUGUGUUGUGUGCAGGUUCCGUUCUACAGCAUAAUGUUGCACAGCGUAAAUAUUUCUUAAUUGGUACUUAAACAAAUAUGGCACAGUUCUUUUCAGCUACACUUGCUAUACUUUGGCAGAUAGGUACAUGCCCACGUUGCCUGCGGACUCAUAUCAGCGGCAUGUCCGUUCUACGUGGACUAUAGCAGUGGUUUGGUACACUGAUGGUAGGUAACGAUGCUUGCAGUAUGGCUUCGCACUCUGACUCAGCCUACUGUGGAACGGGUGAUGCUGAAAACGCCUGAACGCUGUUCUGUCCCUCAUGUAGCGCAUCAUGAUGGCUGCAAAUGUUGCAAACUAUCAGCGAACGUUGCGCAAGAAAAGUCAGUGGUUGUUCCAGCUUGUGGUCCUUUCCUGGUCGCAGCUCACAGGCCCCCGAGAAUCCCGGCUCCGUCCCAUGGCAACAAAGAUGUUUCACCGUGACCAAAAUGUUGGCAGCUGUGUCCAGACGUCUUCUUGCACAAGCGGUUGAGCAAGACAGCCCCUUGCCAGACACGCUACCAAUCAAGCACGGCAGCGACGCCACGCAAAGAAAACUGUGCAUUGGACUGCGUAUCCAGAUUUCCUUCAGUUGCAUGUAUGGUCGGUUCUACUCACUUUCCUGACUAAUGGAAAUACGUUCAGCUAUAUUGCUAUGUCCAGCUAUUACGAGGAGGAGGCGAACGAACACAUUAAAAAUAAACGUGUACGCGCGGUAUAUAUUGCGGAUGUUCGCCAUGUUGAGUUGAUGUUCAUGUUGACUUCACCACGUCCAGCACCCGCACACACUCGUCUGUAACUCGUCUGUACUGUGUCGUCUGUACCGUGUUUCAGUAAGCAUUCCUAGUAAAGUACAGUAGUAUUAACAGAGAACUAUAAAUUCACACGGCUAUAAAUUCGACUUGAGGAUUUUUGCAUGUGGAUCCACACCAGGAAGUAGCUGCUUCGAUCCUUGCCUUUUCCAAUGUGCGGUGGGAUGAGUUCAGGGAAGUGAUAUGAAAAAUGAAGAGGUUAGCCAAAAGUUCGUCUUGUUCUUCGUUUCGGCCGAUCUCGAGAACAAUAAAAAGAUGUGAAUUAUCCCCCCAAAUUUGUGAAAAAAGAAAAAGAAAAAGAGUUGGAAACCUUGACCAAACUGCACAUUUACACCCAUUUACAUAUAAUAUAGUAUAUGUAUUCUUUCCUUCUUAUUUCAAGAUUUAAAGAAGAAGAUGGGCUUCUGAUAUUCCUUCUUGUCGCUUUGCUGUUUUGUACCGUCACAGGGCUCUUGACGUGUACUCUUGACGUACCGUCACAGGGCUCUAGUUGUCAGGCUUGUCCAACAUUUUGAUUCAAAUUGAUUUAUUGGUUUAUUUAUUGAUAUAAAUUGAUUCAUGGUGUAAUACAUGUAUUAUCGUCACAGGGAUUAAAUCUUCAUGUCUUGGGUAGGAAUUUAAUAAAACUUAAUAAUACAUUU